rnacentral:rRNA from 1 species
CCUACGGGUGGCAGCAGUGGGGAAUAUUGGGCAAUGGACGCAAGUCUGACCCAGCAACGCCGCGUGAAGGAAGAAGGCUUUCGGGUUGUAAACUUCUUUUAAGGGGGAAGAGCAGAAGACGGUACCCCUUGAAUAAGCCACGGCUAACUACGUGCCAGCAGCCGCGGUAAUACGUAGGUGGCAAGCGUUAUCCGGAUUUAUUGGGUUAAAAGGGUGCGCAGGCGGCCUGUUAAGUCAGCGGUAAAAGCCCGGGGCUCAACCCCGGCGAGCCGUUGAAACUGGCGGGCUGGAGUUGGAGAGAAGUACGCGGAAUGCGCGGUGUAGCGGUGAAAUGCUUAGAUAUCGCGCAGAACCCCGAUUGCGAAGGCAGCGUACCGGCUCCACACUGACGCUGAGGCACGAAAGCGUGGGUAUCGAACAGGAUUAGAUACCCGAGUAGUC